AGCUCCAAUAGCAUAUAUUAUAGUUGUUGCAGUUAAAAGCUUGUAGUUGGAUUUCUGACUAGGUGUGUGGGACCGUUCUUACAAGUGUGUACAAUACAUGGCUGGCCACCCAUUGGGGGAGCCAGAGUGGCACUAAGUUUUUGGUGUGGGGAUCCCAAUCCUUUACUGUGAAAAAAAUAGAGUGUUCAAAGCAGGCUAACGCCGUUAAAUACAUUAGCAUGAAAUAAUAACAUAGGAAGAUGGUACUAUAUUUUUGGUUUGUGCACAAUAGUAAUUAUUAAUAGGGACAGUUGGGGGUAUUUGUAUUCCAUUGUGAGAGAUUAAAUUCUUUAAUUUUUUAAGACAAACUACUGUGAAAGCAUUUACCCAAGAUGUUUUAA
rnacentral:rRNA from 1 species